rnacentral:rRNA from 1 species
GGCAAUCCGUCUACACAUGCAGUCGAACGGUAACAGGAAGCAGCUUGCUGCUUCGCUGACGAGUGGCGGACGGGUGAGUAAUGUCUGGGAAACUGCCUGAUGGAGGGGGAUAACUACUGGAAACGGUAGCUAAUACCGCAUAACGUCGCAAGACCAAAGAGGGGGACCUUCGGGCCUCUUGCCAUCGGAUGUGCCCAGAUGGGAUUAGCUAGUAGGUGGGGUAACGGCUCACCUAGGCGACGAUCCCUAGCUGGUCUGAGAGGAUGACCAGCCACACUGGAACUGAGACACGGUCCAGACUCCUACGGGAGGCAGCAGUGGGGAAUAUUGCACAAUGGGCGCAAGCCUGAUGCAGCCAUGCCGCGUGUAUGAAGAAGGCCUUCGGGUUGUAAAGUACUUUCAGCGGGGAGGAAGGCGAUAAGGUUAAUAACCUUGUCGAUUGACGUUACCCGCAGAAGAAGCACCCGAGCAGCCGCGGUAAUACGGAGGGUGCAAGCGUUAAUCGGAAUUACUGGGCGUAAAGCGCACGCAGGCGGUCUGUCAAGUCGGAUGUGAAAUCCCCGGGCUCAACCUGGGAACUGCAUUCGAAACUGGCAGGCUAGAGUCUUGUAGAGGGGGGUAGAAUUCCAGGUGUAGCGGUGAAAUGCGUAGAGAUCUGGAGGAAUACCGGUGGCGAAGGCGGCCCCCUGGACAA